GGUGAGAAAGAGAGCGGCCUCAGCUCUGAAGAGCCUCUCCUAUCUAUCUCCAGACUGUGAUCACUUCUAAAUUUGAUAAAUACAUCAGCUUUCCUUUUGUCUCUUCAGCCUCUUUUUGAAUGCUGAGAAAACCAGUGGUCAGCAUACAUAAGCCUAGCAUAACUCUUCCUUUCAUGUGUGAUGCAGAGCACACACCUCGUAAUGCUUCUAGAGAGUGUAUGAACAAAUGAGGGCUCCAAUCCACCUUGCCCUACUCUUCCAGCUGGUGAAAUCAGGACAGCAAGAAGCUGUAAGAUGUGGCUUUGUUGGAGUUGUUUGUGGACAAGAACAGAUGGCUGAAAUUUGGCUCUAAUGAACUGAUUAACAGAGCCUACAGGUCUGUGAGAUCUUUGAUAGGUGGGAAAAGCAGACCCAGAUGUAAACUGAGUGUGAAAGCCAGCCUUGAGAAGGAGAUAGAUGUUACUGGUUAGAUGGUGUUUUAUUAAGCUUCUUGUCAAGAUCCUCGCUACAGCAGAAGACUGGGUGUAGGGUGUUUGCUGGUACAGAGGCUGAAGCUCUUUAGAGGUGAACAUCAGGGCUGUUGGAAGCCUGCUGCUGGGGCAUGUAGAGUAUGGCAGUAUGCCAAAUGAUAUGAAUUCCUCUAUGUAGUUUCUCAUUAAAUGAACAUGGUCAAGGAUAACUGAGAUGGAUUGAAAUACGGGGGAAGUUCUUGGACUUCAUGGGUGUGGCUUUCAGGUCUUGGUUUUACCACCUGCUCACAGCUGAUAAGCCUCUCAAGAAGAUCUGUGUUUAUGAGCAUUAUCUUUGUUCUCCAUCUCACCUGUGUGAUGUCUUGACAGAGCACAACGGAACGGACACAGAUCUUAAAGGGAUAUAACAAGAACUGAACCGCUGAACCUGAAGGAAGAACCAAACUGAGCUUUUCAUACUGUAAAGCACCAAAGCAGGAAAUAACAAUUUUGUACAAGUUUGGGGUGAUAGCCUUAGCUGUGUCUUGUUCAACUUAUCUAUUUGCAAGGAUUUUUAUUCCCCUUCAGUCAGCAGUUAUCUCACACUAAAGUGGGAUUAUUUAAAAAAAAAAAAAAAAAAAAAAAAACCACCUUAAGAAAUGUCAUCGGUCUGAAGAAAGAAAGAGGAAAAAUCCCUCCCUUUUGAACUUUCAGAUUUGUAGAACGGAUAAAGGCCAGUCACAAAUGAUAGGGAGAAAGGGAAAUUCUGAGGGACUUUCUUAGGAAGCAGAAGGGAAACUGUUUCAGGCUCAGAAGGUUGCUUUGAGCGAAUAGUUUAGUCAAUAAAUUGUCUGUUUUUGUUUGAUGCCUUGGGUAGGAGGAAGUGCAAUGCAGUAUCUCCAGAGAAUUUCCAUUCUCCAAAGUUGAUGUUUGCUUGGCACUGAAACAGCUUUGGAAAAUCCUGCCCUUUAGAUACUUAUCUUUUUUUGCUGGCAACUGUUGCUAACAACAGGCUCAUGGGAUUGUAGAGGCUGCCCAUUGCUUUUCUGGGCAUGACUCUUCUCUCUGUCUUUAAUUCACAUAUUGUAGAAACCACCUUUAGACAUGCUGAUGUUAUUAGUGAUAUGCACACACAAUUUCACAUAGGUAUACUGGUUAGCUUUCUCUUUUAUGUCAGACCUGUUCCUAGAGUACAUGUUUCCUUCCCAAACUGUGACCCUACAGUCUAUUGGAUCUAUACUUCCCAAUAAGUGAGAUCAGGAGGGAAGCUGUAGGGCAGAUGAAGUUCAGUAGAUACUUACAGCAAAGCUUUUAAGCUUUAGAGGUAAAAGAAACAAAUUGGUUGCUACUGUGUUUCCUAUGUUGGGUAUGUAAAUGCUGAGAAUAGUGAGUAUAAAAAUGAAAGCUCAGAAUACCAGGAUGAGAGGAGAAAAAGAAACUGAAGUUAGCCUAGGUUGGCAUAGCAUGUUAUGGCUCUUCCCAGGAACAUAGCAUUGGUUUGCCUGAACUGUCCAAGCUCAGUACUGGGCACCUCUCGGAGGCCUUGAAUAUCCAGAGAAUGAACUUUGUGGUAAUAGCUCUUUCAAGUGAGAGGAACCACUGAACCUGGGUUAUUUUCCUAGGCUAUAUAAUGCAACUCAUUGAACGUAUUUAGAAGCAACUGUUCAUUGUAAAGUUUUAUAGUGCCAGAACAAAUCUGGAGGUCAAGUAAGAUAUUAACUCACUGAUGUCUGUCACUAAAUCCCAAAGGAGCUAUUGUCUGCCUGAGCUGUUGUCUUGUCUGCUAACGGAACUGAAGUUGUGUGGGGUUUCAUUUGAUGAUUCUUCAGUUUAUUUUCUUAAUUGUUGCUUCAGUUCACAUGAGAACUCUUCUGGGGAGGGAGAAGUUGUUUACAGAACAAAUUCCCCAAGAGUAAUUCACAUCACUUACACCUUUGUCUUAACAAAGGAUAUUCCUACAGGCUCUAGUGGCAACUUUCUUGCCUCAAAAGAAAAUUGAGUGAAGUGAAUGCAAAUAACUAAGGAAGAGGAGACCUUUUCCCUUUUGCAGGAAUCGAAUCGCUACUGGUCGUCUUCAUAGUUACCCAAUAAAAUGCACAGAGUACUUGUGAAGUGUAAACUCCAUUCUAGUAAAAUCAUUAAGACCUAAUGGUUCAAGGGCUCUUGAACCAGCGACAAAAAUAAAGCUGGCAGUUGCCAAAUACUACAGGCUUAGAAAAUAAAACAGUUGUCUACACAGUGCCUGGACAGUAUUUACAAGGGUGAAGUCUACAGCCUUCUACACUUUCUUUGGUAUGGAAACUGAAUGUUUGGAUGUGGCCCAGUUACAAAUGUAAGAAUUCUGAUGUCUGAUUAACUCCAUUCCAUCAGAGAUGGACAAAAACAAACAAACAAAAAAACAACCACAAACCAUUUCAAACAGGGUUGUCUAGCAAUGCUUGAGAACAAUUGUGCUCAUUUUUCUAAGCUGUAAAUAAUCAUGUUAAGUGGAGAUGAAACUUCUGUUGAAUUAAUGGGAUGUGCAUCCAAUAUCAUUAUCUAAAGGGAGGGGCGACAGGAAAGAAAGAGAUGGAUGCUUUAGCAGUAGCUGUUGUAAUAAGACAAAGGCAAAUAGCUUCAAACUAAGAGAGGGAAGACUUGGAGAUUGGAUGUAAGACGACUUCUUUAUUUAUUUUUGCAAUAAGAGCAUUGAUGCACUGGCACAUGUUGCCCAGAGAAGUGGUGGAUGUCCUAUCCCUGGAAAAACAUGAGAUCAGGCUGAAUGGAGCUCUGAGCAACCUGAUGUAGCUGUAGGGUGUCCCUGUUCAUUUAGAGAAAUUGGACCAAAUAAUCUUUAAGGAUGUCUUCCAAAUCAAAUAAUUCUAUACAAAAUAAGCAUCUUUUUCCUAUUCAUAUAAUGGAGUCAUAAGCACUUCCUGCAGGCCCUCUACUCUGGAAUGUUUCUCAGUUUUCUUAAAGCUUUAAGACUUAUUUGUUAAUGGUUAGUUCAGAUCCAGUUCAACUGAAUCAUUUUAACAACUGUCUUUCAAGUAUUGUGAGCAUGAUCAGAUACUGCCUCUUUCCUGUCCCAAAAGUGCCUGUCUGCUAUCAGUAAUAUUACUUUUUUUUCCUACCUCUAGUCACGAUGAUACAAGAAGUUGCUGGAUUCUUUUCAAAGAAGCAAGAUUGGGGUUUGAAAAGGAAAAGAAGAGUUCCUUUCUCUUAAAGUACUGUGGAAAAGCUGCUUAGGUUUAUUUCCUGUGGAAGAUUCUAUUCAGAUCUAUGACACAGGAAAGAGGUGGCAUCCUCCUCCUCUUUGCCUUUUUCUAAUAAUGGAACCCUCUUCUCGCUGUGUGGGAGUACCAUUAAUUUUCACAUAUUGCCUGGCCUCUUCCAUAGGUAGAUGUGGGAGAUCUACUCCAAGUGUGCAUCUUGAAGUAUGGAGGGCUUUGUUUUCCUUUUUCUGUGAUCAUUAAGUGUCUUGACAUUCAUGUUGGGGACUGUGUAGUAUUUCAGCAGUGUUUUUUGUGAAUUACUUUUAGGUGAGGACUGUUAGCUGCCUGGAGUGCCACUUUUCCAGAAUUGGGAGAUAUCCAAGAAAUGGGGUACAAAUUGUAUUUUUAGAAGUAAAGAAAACAGUCCCAAACCAUGAAAACAAACAGUAACACCCCUUCCCAACCCCCCCUCCACAAUGGAUUCUUUGCAGCAGAAGGGCCUCUUCAUUUGGAGAAAGGAGAGGAACAGGGAGAGAUUGAAACUAUGAUGAUGCUAUCCUGUCUCCUUCUGCAGUACUUUUAUGCUUUUCCGUGACUUCAUUUUCAGAUUACAAAUCAGCCCUGGCAACCUUCAUAGGGCAUAAUUGGUCAUCUUGAGUUUCUUGGUUAUUGUUUUUUUUCUCUCAUUUAAUUGUCUGAUCCAUGAGUCAUCUGGUUGUUGUGUACCAGUCGAUAACAGGUUAGA